rnacentral:tRNA from 1 species
GGAGGUAGCUCAGUGGUAGAGCACUUACCUACCAUGCGGGAGGCCCUGGGUUCAAUCACCAGCACCACCA